rnacentral:misc_RNA from 1 species
UAAUCUCACUACAAACCUCUUUGGUUGUAUGUGGAUCUGGAUGCUGCUGUGUUCUACAAACAGCGCGUCUGAAAUGCCUGAGUGUACCCUGCUUUGCAGCGUAUUCGGUGUGAUACAUCUUCACCGGAGUUUGACCUUUCGGGUCACGUCUGCUUAGUUAUGGCUCUAUGCUUCCAACUGUCUUGACCAGACAAUGCCUGACA